AUUGAACGCUGGCGGAAUGCUUUACACAUGCAAGUCGAACGGCAGCACGGGGCAACCUGGUGGCGAGUGGCGAACGGGUGAGUAAUACAUCGGAACGUGCCCAAUCGUGGGGGGAUAACGUAGCGAAAGUUACGCUAAUACCGCAUACGAUCUACGGAUGAAAGCGGGGGAUCGCAAGACCUCGCGCGAAUGGAGCGGCCGAUGUCAGAUUAGGUAGUUGGUGGGGUAAAGGCUCACCAAGCCGACGAUCUGUAGCUGGUCUGAGAGGACGACCAGCCACACUGGGACUGAGACACGGCCCCAGACUCCUACGGGAGGCAGCAGUGGGGAAUUUUGGACAAUGGGCGCAAGCCUGAUCCAGCCAUUCCGCGUGCAGGAUGAAGGCC
rnacentral:rRNA from 1 species